CUCUGGUUAGAUAGUUAACUGCGACAAUAUAUUUUCAUCUAUUUCAUUCGUAAAAUAAUUCCAAUUUGUAUUUCAAAAUGUGAUAAAUUAAUUACUUUAAAGUAAAACUAAACUUUCAGUAAACGAUGUAUACAGUUAUAAAGCUUUUCAUAUCAUUCAGCAUGAUAGACAGAAUAUCAAGAAGUUCACUUUUUUAAUUCCGUGAAUGGGCAGAAAUAUCCAUAUAGAAUGUGGGUAUGGUUGAUUCUACACAAUGUGUGCUGUAAAAGUCUAAAUGAAUAUUGAUUAAUCAGAUAUUAUGGAAAGUUAUUUCAUCGUAGAUAAUUUAAAAGGCAAUACAAUUAUUUAAUCUUUCUAUUUAGGAAAGGAAAACUCAAACGACAUUUUAUUCACUACAUGUACCUAUUUUCUAAUUUCUAUUGUGACACACGAGGUACACGUAAUCUAUGUCAACCAGCUGACUCUUGCUUCGAAAGAACUUUGUCGUGGCAAUUUUCAAGCUUUUUUAGAACAUAAUUUUCUUGCAAACACACAACAAAACAUUUGUUUCAUUUUUUCUUCAAGAUUUGAUUUAAUUUUCAACUGAGAGUUCGGAAAAUUUGAACUGCAUGACUGGUUGUUUUCACAUUAAAAUAAAAUGAAUUUAUUGUCGAGCUCGGAAACACAUUUUUUGGUUUUACCAUUAAAGUGGACAAUGAAUGCAGCCACUCUAACAUUGAAUGUGGCAAUGCUCAAUAUGUUCGGUUCCCUUCGAUUUGACGCUUAUACAAAUCAGUUGACUCUACUAUCCUCUCCGAUUGUUUGAUUUCCCGAUUGUGGACAUGUGCAAGUAUGUAUAUGUUUCUUUGGAUGUAAAAAGUUCACUCAACUGCUAUAUAGAAUACGCAGAAACCGCCACGUUAAAGAGAUCGACCUUUUCCAAGGCCCACGUUAAAGCUUGAACCUGCUAUAUGAGCUGAAUUGCUGUAGGGGUGAAAAGUUCUCUAGGGUGCUACCGGCCUUUUAGCGCGAUAGGUUGUAGCAGUGUGUAUUCUUUAACGUGCCAACGCCUAUCGUGACACAAGGCCCCCGCUUUCAAGGUCAUAUCUGAAAUACCCAUGAUUCUCACUUCAAAAUGCCGAACACAUUGUAAGUUUUGUUAACAUCUUAGCCGCCAUAACACGAGUGGGGCUUGGACUUACGACCUCCCGGUUACGAAGUGAACGCUCUACCACUGGGCUACUGCGACCGGUUAAUUGUAAUGAAUAAAUGAUAAUAAUAAUAAUGAUAUACAAUAAUGCUUUAUUUAGAGAAGGUAGCCCGAUAAGGACAUGGUACUAUCAUUCCCCUGGGCCUUCUGAAAUACAAACAAUAUACUCAUAAUGAUACGUACAAUCAAAGAUAAAAAUAAAAUGAUAGGUUCCGUGAUCAUAUACAAUUUACAACAAAGUGGUAUUUAAAACAAUUAUGGGGGUCAAUAUUCAUGGUGUGGAAGAGGUACAUGUAGUAAAAGAGGGAAAAGGGGCGGGUAUGCAAAGAUAUACAUAUAUAUUCACAUACAUACACAUGUAUAUAUUAUUAUAUAAGAACAUGUUUAAAAUUAACGACGGCUAAUUAUGAAUUUUUCAACAUUUCUUCUAAAAACGUCUCUACGAAGGUGAUAAUUUUUAAAAUUAGAUAUGUUAAAAAAUAAGUAAACAACAACAAGUGAAAAGAAAUCAUCAACAACAACGCAAUGACCUGUGUGAAAAGGUAGUUGUUCAAAUGUAUAUCAUCGAAAUGAAUAUUGGAAACUGUACUUAUUUAAAAUGGCCGAGUGACAACUAUUGAUUUAGAAUCAAAUAAUUUUGGUUAAAACAUGUGAAAUAAUGUACGCCAUGUCGCACAGCCUCAUAAGUAUGUACCUGCAAUGAUAUGUUUAUCGUUUUACAACGUCGAAAAAUUUUGUUGAGAUUCGGACCAUAUAUCUUUAAGUAUCGCGAAAGAGGAAUUGUCGUCUGUAAAGCUGAUAUUAGUAUGUGAAUGGGGGAUUUGAUUACGGGUGCCACUUGUGUUAUUUCAUAAAAUUUGUAUUGCACAAUGUCCAUUUUACAGCAAGAAUUGCCACAAAUAUACAUUUUCUAUCAAAAAAGUUCUAGUUUUGAGUCCCUAGUCAGCUAAGUGUAAGCUACCAUCAAUUGUCGUUAGACCAGUGACAUUGUAGAUAAAAUACAAAUGGAAUACGACCAUAGUAGCAAAACUUUAAUUCUAUGCUCCUCGAAAAAUUUCGGAGGAGCAUACAUGUAUAUAGUUGUUGUAUUUCUCUGUCCUUUCAAGCUCAUAUAUUCUAAAUCUCUUUCAUCAGAAUAUUGAUCACAAAUAUUCAUUGAGACAAGGACAUCUGGACCAUUAUCACAAGGUCAUUUUAGAAACGUCAAGGUCACUCAGGACAUAUAAAAGGUCCUUAUUUCGAAUUUUUUAAACAGGUAUUGAUCAUAAGUAAUAGGCCAAUGACUUUCAGACAAAGGUCACUCAAGAUCUUUGUAAAGGUGAGGAUCACUCAGAACAUAUAAUUACUUUAUAUAUGAAAGAAACUUAAUUUCAACAAAAUUCCAACAGUUAGUAAUAAGUGUGCGAAUGACUAUCGGACAAAGGUUACUAAGGGUCAUUUUGUAAAGAUCAAGGUCCCUCAGGGCAUAUACCUUAUAUGAAAAAAAACCCCUAUUUCAAUGAUAUUUCAGCAGUUAUUGAUCAUUUGGACAAAGGUCACUUAAGGACAUUUCAUAAAUGUCAAGGCCACUAAGAAUAUAUACCUUAUAUGCGGGAACAAAUCAUCAAUAAUAUUUUAAGAGUUAUUGGUCAUCGUGCGAAUUUUCGGAAAAAGGUCAUUCCUAAAAGUCAAAAUCACUUAAAAGAUAUAACUUACUUCAUCUUCUUACCCGUGUCAAACUUACGACGUAAACAUUAGGUAUUAAUUGCUCUUGCAAAACACUCUCACCAUUUAGAAGUGAGAAUCAAGGGUCUUUUUCAAAUUACCUUAAAGAUAGACGUCCAGUGUCGUGACAGACACUGAUACGUCACAUUAAAGAACCAUCACUGCUACGGCCCUGAGCACUGAACAAAGGUCAAAAUUUGUGGUCACCUACAACUGGUGACGUCUCAAUAUGAGUAAAACAUCCUCGAUGGGUCGAAGAACAAUCUGCACUUAAUCGAUAUGCGAGAGCAUAUUCUAUGUACAGGGUUUGAUUUUUUUUAAUCGAGGCAGGCUAACAAAUAAGUUGAAUUUACAGGGGUUUAAAUUGUAAGUUUCGUUUACAGUCAGCAUUUCGCAAAUUCUAUGGUCGGUAGGGAUUCUUUUCUUGACGUCAUACUUGUUAUACUGGUCUCCCCUAAUGAGUAGCCGAUGUAGAGGCAAAUUUUGACUCCCAUAGAAUAAUGACCGGGGUCAUUUUUCGACGUCGAAAAAAUGACCCCCUAGCCGUAGAAAAAUUGGAUAAUUUUGUAGAAAGAAGACCCAGGGGUCAUUAUUUUGCGUGUCAUACCUGAAAAAUAAUGACCACCGUAGAAAAAUGACCCCCUCCUCCCUUUCUUAGCAGAUUGUUUAUUUUAAAGGAGUUGAUACGGGUUUUCAGGUCAUUAUUUACCCAGAGUUAUCGUUCCUGCUGCUCCUCUUAUCAAAUUUAUUCCAUGUGUAAUUUUUUUUUUCACGGUUAAUAUAAUAAAAGUAAGAACUAGUUCAUUAAAUUUGAGGAAAACCCACUGUAGGUUCCAUGACCAAUUGCAACUGGAAAAACCCCGCAUAUUUCAGGGACGGGCCCAGGGAAUUUUCAAAAAGGGGUUCUACCAUAAAUUUUAGUUUUCAAAAGGGGAGUUCCAUUCUCAAAAUGUGUUAUUUUAACCUCAUUAAGCAACAUUUUGUAACGAUAGGCAGAGGUACAUGUACAACCUAUAAAACCUCCACACUUCCCUUUGAAUUUACCAAUGUAUUUAUGCUAUCUAUUUACUUGUAUACAUCGUGUGUAAUCAAACACACACAUAAAAAAGAGCUGCGUUUAAAUUCAAUACUUCUUGUGUCAAAGAGAGGCGUGAAAUCUUCUUAAAACUGAUGAAUUCACAUACAUUUUUUGCAACUGAAGUCAAUAGCUUAUUUCAUUUAUGCAUCAUUAUCGUUUUUCAAGAAUUUUGAAAAAUGAGUAAGUGUUGAUAGAGGUAUUAGUGAGUAUGCGAACGAUAACUUUGGGUAGACUAUACAUUUCACUGGAUAAUUUAUGCCUAUCAGGGGUGUAGGACAAGGGGACGGGGACACGUGCCGCCUCAGUUUUGGAAGAUGGGGGAGGGGGGCACCAAGUGGGUUUGUUCCCCCUCACUUUUUUAAUACAAAAUUAACAUAGAUUGGUCAGAUGAGAAUAUACCACGGUUAAAAAAAUACUCAAUUCUAAUAUGCAAGUUCUCAGCACUCAAAACAUUAUUUCUUGCAAUUACAUAACCUAUUCUCUCCGUACUACAUUUUGUUUUGACCGAUUACGUUUUAAACCGUCAUAAAAUUGUUAGUUACAAGAAAAAUGUUCUCACGGUGAAAAUAGUUAUAUCUCAUUUAUAUUAGAAGGGAGUCCCCCCAUUGCAAUGUUCAAAAGUGCAGUAUGUCGUACACAGUACAGGGGAGUAGGGGAAGAUACAGCCGGGGCACAUGUCCCCACGCUUUUCAAAGGGGGAAGAAGUAUGGUUGUGUUCCCCUUAAGGUUGAUCGAUCCUCAUGUGACGUCAUAGGUUUUUGCAAAAAUCUUAAUAAAUUAAACUUUGCGCAUGAUAGAAAUAUAUCUUUCUGAGUAAUAUUAUUCACUGGAUAUAAUAAAAAAUCUGGUAAACUAUUAAUACUGAAAAAGUUUAUAUUUUCCAUAGAUAAUCAAUUAUUCAUGAUUUUAAAAAUGUUGUCAAGGGCAAUAACUCCUGAGCUGGAAUUUCCUCAACUGGAUGUAUAUUAUACAUUGGUUUCCCUAAUAUCCAUGAUUAAUCUAUACAUAUUUAUGAAUUAGCAGUUUUUUUAAAACUGUUGAUUUUUAAAUUUUGUCAUUUCAACAAGUUUUUAUCUAUUUCUAUUAUUCUGUUUAACGAAAAUGUGUGAUUUUCUGAUGUUGAUAUAUACUUCUGUUUUUGUAUGUCCGACAUCUUUAAAAAGGUGGCAACAUAUACAUUUUCUUUGGUUAUUAAUUAAAUUAAACUAUACUGAAUGGAAAUUAAUAAAGUUUUUCCACUGUUAACCAUUCAAAUUGAUAAGUCACAUGAGGAUGGAGCUACCUUAAGUAAGGCUUCUUUACAAUCUGAUUAGAAUAAGAUCCCCGAUUCGCUCCUUUGUAUUCAUAUUGUCUCUACAACAUAAAAACAAAGGAGCAGAUUCUAUAACUCUCAGAAGUCAUAGGUAAUAUACCUUAAGCAGUGGAAUGCUUACACAUGAAAAUUUGCAAAGUGUUUUAGGUCUGUUAAUUACAACAUUUAGUUUCGAUUUGCAGUUUUUUCCAAAUCUGACUUUGUUAAGAAUUUCUUAAGUCAAUAAUAAAGAACAAAAGUGAAAAAAGAAGUAAAUUUUGAUAUUUCAUGAGGAAUGCUCCCGGAAUUAUUCAUUUCGUUGGUUUCAUUUGAAAAUACACCUGUUGUUGAUACAUAGUUAUAUGUACGUAUUCCUCUGUCUGCUCCUCUAUAUUUCAAAUUUCCUUUUAAUUAGUGAAUUGCACCCAAACUCUUGGAUUUUUUACAAAUAACGUCAUCGACAAACGAGUACUCCCCUGCUCAUAGACAAAUAUAAGGUUGAACGUGAUAGAGGCCUUUGAGGAAAUUACAAAACUAUAUACUUAAGUUAUAUAACAAAUAUGUAGACGGAUUUCUUCAUGGAAUUAUAUUCAAAAUGAGAUUUUAAAAUGUUCCCUUCAAUAUUAUAUUUAUCAUAACCGACCCAUACAAUGAUCCACGAAGCAAAUAUAUCAAAUCAAUAAAUGUUUUAUCGUUGAGUAUGACAUUAUGGAGUGCGAUUGCUCUGCAGAAAAAACUCCCUAUCAUGCGUGUUAAGUGCAUCGUAGAAUAUACCAUCAGAGCGAUAGGCACGUUUCGAGUUCAUCCGGAACACCCGGGAUUUUCACAUUUAGCCACGCCAAUCACGUGACAUGAACAAAAUGUUCAGCAGGGGUACUUCCGGUUGAUAUUGUUUACUCUGGUAACAAAAUUGUCUUUAACAAAAUAUGCAUUUUGUGGCACGAAAGGUCUCAAUUCAGAUAAUGGAGAGAAAGGGGUGUAUAUCUACUUUGGAUGAUGUUAAAGUUCACCCUUUCCCAACCCUGGAAAAAAAAUGUUCACGCAGAGGAAACGAUGGCGUCAUUUGUUUAGAAAACCACGAGUAGCAGAACAGUGCAGAAAAUUAGAGCGAUUACUACAUACCAUAAAAGCUGAUCCAACACAGAAGCAUCCCUGUUCUAGCCAUUUCACCAUAUGAAAGGCGAAGAUAACAAACAGUGAUCCAAGUUUUAAGAAAACCAAGAGGUUGAUAACAAUGACUGUACUCCGUAUGUUGACUGGAAUUAUUGACUGGUAUGCAGUAAAACAGCUGAAGGAAAGUUCAACUAUUAAUUCAUUUCAGCCUGAUAGUCUGGCAGUAUUAUAGGUAAUCUGGCAGUAAUGGCAUGACAUCAUGAGAGCUAAUCAACAUGGUUAAUGAUGUAUAGAGACACUGUCUGAAGACCUCGAGGGAAAGGCAAAGAAAAUGGAUGAUCUACUUCUUAUAUUCCCGUAAAAAAGAGGAAGGAUACCACAACAUUGACGAUAAAUUAUUGUCAAUUCAAGAAGCAAAGUUGUGAAAAUGCAAAAAUGAUAAUUAAUGUAUUUGUUAGAAAAAUAUUGUUAACUGCAUAUAUAUUUCUUGAACUUAUUCAGGAAUACAUCAAAUGUAGUCAUUCAUAUUAAAACUGAAUCUAUGAAUUUUCAUAACUUUUAUCAAUAAAGUUUACUAUAUUUAUUUUACAUGUAUCUAAUUUCCCUAAUACAUUGUACUCGUGGGGGUUUGCUUGCAUUCAUUGUUUUGACAUGAAUCCGAAAAUGUGCAUAUAUCAUCACAAGAGCCCACCUGGGCACUAAGCAUGUGUCAUGUAUAAAGCAGACUCAAACAAGAUCUACCAAUAUAAUAUUUGAAUGAACACAAAUGGUCUUAGAUACUCUUUUUUUCUCUCUGCAAUAUAUGGCAUUAAACAGCAUUAAUUUUUUUUUCAAUUUUAAAUAUAUACAAGUCAAUUAACUUUUCCCAAACUUUUGAUGCAUAUAAUGGAUUUUCUCUGAACUGCUACAUCUUUGUGCACAGAAUGGAAA